rnacentral:sRNA from 1 species
UCGUCGAGGAUCUGCGGGCAGAUGAAGUGGACGUGGCAGUCGAUGGCGCCGGCGGUGACGAUCUUGCCGUUGCCGGCGAUGAUCUCGGUGGUCGGCCCGAUGACAAGGUCCGGGUGGACGCCGUCCAUGGUGUCGGGGUUGCCGGCCUUGCCGAGCGCGACGAUGCGUCCGUCGCGAAUCCCGAGGUCGGCCUUGACGAUUCCCCAGUGGUCGAGCACGACGACACCGGUGAUGACGGUGUCGGGGGCGCCGUCGGCGCGGGUCGCGCGGCUCUGCCCCAUGG